AGACCCGAAGCCGGACGAUCUAUCCAUGGCCAGGUUGAAGGUCAGGUAAAACUGACUGGAGGACCGAACCAGGGUCUGUUGAAAAAGGCUUGGAUGAGCUGUGGAUAGGAGUGAAAAGCUAAUCGAGUUCGGUGAUAGCUGGUUCUCCCCGAAAUGCAUUGAGGUGCAGCCUCGUGUUAGAAAGUUGUGGGGGUAGAGCACUGGAUGGGUGCGGGGGACUGGGGUCCUACCAAUCUCAACCAAACUCCGAAUACCAUAACUGGAUUCACGGGAGUGAGACUGCGAGCGAGAAGGUCCGUAGUCGAAAGGGAAACAGCCCAGACCGACAGCUAAGGUCCCAAAGCGAGUGCUAAGUGUGACAAGGAUGUGGGGGUACCCAGACAGCCAGGAGGUUGGCUUAGAAGCAGCCAUCCUUGAAAGAGUGCGUAACAGCUCACUGGUCGAGUGCCCCUGCGCCGAAAAUGUGGGGGGCUAAGCACACCGCCGAAGCUUCGGAUAUGCAUAUUAUAUAUGUAUGUGGUAGGGGAGCGUUCUGUACGGGGCGAAGUAUGACCGAAAGGGAAUGUGGACUGUACAGAAGUGAGAAUGCUGGCAUGAGUAACGUAAAACAUGUGAGAACCAUGUUCGUCGAAAGCCCAAGGAUUCCUGGGGAAGGUUAGUCCGCCCAGGGUUAGGCGGGACCUAAGGCAAGGCUGAAGAGCGUAGCCGAUGGACAGCAGGUAGACAUUCCUGCCCCGCCCCGAGGACGUUAUUACUGAAGUGGUGACGCAGAAAGCUAGGUACGCUGGGUGAUGGAAGUCCCAGUACAAAGGUGUAGGGGGAUGGAGCAGGCAAAUCCGCUCUAUCGUAACUCUGAGGCCUGAUGUGGAAACUCUACGGAGUUGAAGGUAUUGAGGCUCUGCUGCCGAGAAAAGCCACUAGGGAGGAAUUGGGGCGCCCGUACUGUAAACCGACACAGGUGGGCAAGCUGAGCAGGCUAAGACGGACGGGGAAACCCUCUUUAAGGAACUCUGCAAUUUGACUCCGUAACUUCGGGAGAAGGAGUGCCACUUAGGUGAAGCGUAUAAUCAUGUGGAGCUAUAAGUGGUCGCAGAACCCAGGCCCAGGCAACUGUUUACUAAAAACACAGGUCUCUGCUGAAGCCGUAAGGCGACGUAUAGGGACUGACGCCUGCCCGGUGCUGGAAGGUUAAGGGGAAGUGUUAGGAUUCGUCCGAAGCGCGGAACUGAAGCCCCAGUAAACGGCGGCCGUAACUAUAACGGUCCUAAGGUAGCGAAAUUCCUUGUCGGGUAAGUUCCGACCUGCACGAAAGGCGUAAUGAUCUGGGCGCUGUCUCGAAGGGGGACCCGGUGAAAUUGUGGUACCGGUAAAGACGCCGGUUACCUGUGGUGGGACGGAAAGACCCCGUGGAGCUUUACUGUAGCUUGAUAUUGGACUUCGGUAUAGUAUGUACAGGAUAGGUGGGAGACGAAGAAGUUAUGCCGUCAGGUGUAUCUGAGUCGUCCUUGGGAUACCACCCUUAUUGUACUGGGGUUCUAACCUCGACUUCUGAAUCGGAGCGAGGGACAGUUUCAGGUAGGCAGUUUGACUGGGGCGGUCGCCUCCUAAAGAGUAACGGAGGCGCGCGAAGGUUGUCUCAGGGCGAAUGGAAAUCGCCUAAAGAGCGCAAGGGUAUAAGACAGCCUGACUGUGAGAUAGACAUAUCGAGCAGGUGCGAAAGCAGGUCCUAGUGAUCCGGCGGUACUGAGUGGAAAGGCCGUCGCUCAUCGGAUAAAAGCUACCCCGGGGAUAACAGGCUUAUCUCCCCCGAGAGUUCCCAUCGACGGGGAGGUUUGGCACCUCGAUGUCGGCUCGUCGCAUCCUGGGGCUGUAGCAGGUCCCAAGGGUUGGUCUGUUCGCCCAUUAAAGCGGUACGUGAGCUGGGUUUAGAACGUCGUGAGACAGUUCGGUCCCUAUCCACCAUAGGCGAAGGGUAUUUGAGGAGAGCUGCUCCUAGUACGAGAGGACCGGAGUGGACGCACCACUAGUGUACCAGUUGUCGCGCCCGCGGCAUAAGCUGGGUAGCCAUGUGCGGCAUGGAUAACCGCUGAAGGCAUCUAAGCGGGAAGCCACCUUCAAGAUGAGAUACCCUAUCUGUAAGAAGAAUAAGGUGUCCGGAAGACGACCGGUUAGAUAGGUCGGAGGUGUAAGCCCUGUGAGGGGUUGAGCUGACCGAUACUAAUACACCGAAGCCUUAACC
rnacentral:rRNA from 1 species